rnacentral:tRNA from 1 species
GGAGAGAUGGCAGAGUGGCCUAAUGCGGCGGCUUCUCGAGAGCCGUCACGCCGGGGGUUAAAGACCGGCGUCGGGGGUUCGAAUCCCUCCUCUCUCCG